rnacentral:ncRNA from 1 species
UGUCUCCUCCAACUCUCCUCAGAAAAGAAUUGGAUUUAGGCCCACCCGCAACGGUGGGCCUUUUUUUU